rnacentral:rRNA from 1 species
UGAAAAAGUUAGUGGUGAAAUCCCAGAGCUUAACUCUGGAACUGCCAUUAAAACUUUUCAGCUAGAGUAUGAUAGAGGAAAGCAGAAUUUCUAGUGUAGAGGUGAAAUUCGUAGAUAUUAGAAAGAAUACCAAUUGCGAAGGCAGCUUUCUGGAUCAUUACUGACACUGAGGAACGAAAGCAUGGGUAGCGAAGAGGAUUAGAUACCCUCGUAGUCCAUGCCGUAAACGAUGUGUGUUAGACGUUGGAAAUUUAUUUUCAGUGUCGCAGCGAAAGCGAUAAACACACCGCCUGGGGAGUACGACCGCAAGGUUAAAACUCAAAUGAAUUGACGGGGACCCGCACAAGUAGUGGAGCAUGUGGUUUAAUUCGAAGAUACGCGCAGAACCUUACCAACACUUGACAUGUUCGUCGCGACUCUAAGAGAUUAGAGUUUUCGGUUCGGCCGGACGAAACACAGGUGCUGCAUGGCUGUCGUCAGCUCGUGUCGUGAGAUGUUGGGUUAAGUCCCGCAACGAGCGCAACCCUCACUUUUAGUUGCCAUCAUUAAGUUGGGCACUCUGAAAGAACUGCCAGUGAUAAGCUGGAGGAAGGUGGGGAUGACGUCAAGUCCUCAUGGCCCUUACGUGUUGGGCUACACACGUGCUACAAUGGUAUCUACAACAGGAAGCAAGACUGCGAGGUCAAGCAAAUCCCUAAAAGAUACC